rnacentral:lncRNA from 1 species
GAGAUGUAUCCCGCUGAACUGACUUUAAAUAAAGAUAAUACUAACAAUGAACACUGCCCUUUCCUGGAUCUUGAUAUCUAUAUCUUUAACGGGAAGCUAAAUACCAAAAUUUAUAAUAAAAGAGAUGAUUUUUCAUUUCCUAUUGUUAGUUAUCCAUUUUUAGAUGGUGACGUUCCCUUGUCACCAUCUUAUGGUGUUUAUAUAUCUCAACGUGUUCGAUUC